CGGCUUGUGGCAGCGCCAUUUUGAACGUGCAGCCGCCUCGGGCGUGAGUCCUUCGGGGUAGGGCAGCCGGCGUGGCGACCUGGGUGUCUUCUCUGACUUUGUCCUUCCAUAUUCCGUUUCUGUAGGUAUAUAUAGUGGUACAGCUAUAGAUCUAGAAUUCUGUCCGGCAUAAGUGAACUCACUAAGAUGAUGUUAAGAGGAAACCUGAAGCAAGUACGCAUUGAGAAAAACCCGGCCCGCCUUCGCGCUCUCGAGUCUGCGGCAGGCGAGAGCGAGCCGACGGCCGCCAUGGCGCUCGCGCUGGCUGGGGAGCCGGCGCCACCUGCCCCGGUGCCCCCGGAGGACCACCCCGACGAGGAGAUGGGCUUCACCAUCGACAUCAAGAGCUUCCUCAAGCCGGGCGAGAAAACGUACACGCAGCGCUGCCGCCUCUUCGUGGGGAACUUGCCCACAGACAUCACGGAGGAGGACUUCAAGCGGCUCUUCGAGCGCUACGGCGAGCCCAGCGAGGUCUUCAUCAAUCGGGACCGUGGCUUCGGCUUCAUCCGUUUGGAAUCCAGAACACUGGCUGAAAUUGCAAAAGCAGAGCUGGAUGGCACCAUUUUGAAGAGCAGACCUCUCCGAAUUCGUUUUGCUACACAUGGAGCAGCCCUAACUGUCAAGAACCUCUCGCCGGUUGUUUCCAAUGAGCUUCUAGAGCAAGCAUUUUCCCAGUUUGGUCCAGUAGAGAAAGCCGUUGUGGUUGUGGAUGAUCGUGGUAGAGCUACAGGAAAAGGUUUUGUAGAAUUUGCAGCAAAACCUCCUGCACGAAAGGCUCUGGAAAGAUGUGGUGAUGGGGCAUUCUUGCUAACAACGACCCCUCGUCCAGUCAUUGUGGAGCCUAUGGAGCAGUUUGAUGAUGAAGAUGGCUUGCCAGAGAAGCUAAUGCAGAAAACUCAACAAUAUCAUAAGGAAAGAGAACAGCCACCACGUUUUGCUCAACCUGGGACAUUUGAAUUUGAGUAUGCAUCUCGAUGGAAGGCUCUUGACGAAAUGGAAAAGCAGCAGCGUGAGCAGGUUGAUAGAAACAUCAGAGAAGCCAAAGAGAAACUGGAAGCAGAAAUGGAAGCAGCUAGGCAUGAACACCAAUUAAUGCUAAUGAGGCAAGAUCUAAUGAGGCGUCAAGAAGAACUCAGACGAUUGGAAGAACUCAGAAACCAAGAGUUGCAAAAACGGAAGCAAAUACAACUGAGACAUGAGGAAGAGCACCGUCGCCGUGAGGAAGAAAUGAUCCGACACAGAGAACAGGAGGAACUCAGGCGACAGCAAGAGGGCUUUAAGCCAAACUAUAUGGAGAAUAGAGAACAGGAAAUGAGAAUGGGUGAUAUGGGUCCCCGUGGAGCAAUAAACAUGGGAGAUGCAUUUAGCCCAGCACCUGCUGGUAACCAAGGUCCUCCUCCAAUGAUGGGUAUGAAUAUGAACAACAGAGGAACUAUACCUGGCCCACCAAUGGGUCCUGGUCCUGCCAUGGGACCAGAAGGAGCUGCAAAUAUGGGAACUCCAAUGAUGCCAGAUAAUGGAGCAGUGGAGGGUGAAAGAAAACAUGGAUGAAGCUGCCUGAAUAUCGGCUUCUGGCAUGAAUCAAGUUCAGAGACUAGGAAAUGCUGGUGUCAGAUUUCCUUUCAGGUCAUCUUGUGGGAGAAAUGCUUUUAAAGACAGAGGAGAAACAGCCAGAAAACAGAUAUUUCAUUUGUGAAUUUAUUACUCCAUAUAAACAACUUACGAAUAAUCGUUAACACUUGACAUUAUGCCUCAUGGACAAAUUUUCCGUGGUUAAAAUAUCUGGAAUGGUGCAAACUUCCACUUUCAGGUGUUUUAAGAGUUCUUGCUGGCUGAUGUUGCAAAGUAGUGUGGGAGUAGCCUACAAAUACAGAAUGACAGACAAACUCUCCUUUCAAUUCGCUAUAAAUGGGAACUGUUAGAGGGAUUUUUUUUGGCAUCCCCUCUAGCCUGCAAUUUGGGGUCAGUCCCCAAGAUAAGGGGCUACUCAUGAAAUUUGGCACUGUUAGAAAAAUCAUGUUUUACUAAAGCCAUGUAUAUAUAUUUAAGCCCAAAGAAAGCAGAGAGUAUGAGGGAAACAGUGUGUUGUAGAAUAAUGAAAAAUUAAUUUCUUCCAAGUUAAACUGAUAUGCAGUGUUAGGGUUAGAUUCCAGCUGGGGUUCUUGGGGGCUCUGGAUGUCGGCAGAGGACUAUUUCUGGAUUUUGAUUUGGUCCUUAUUUGUGCCUCCUCACUGUAAUUAGAUUUAGCUUACUAGUAACACUUUUCUUUACUUGGAAGUAGAUGUGAGGCCUAGAAAUCCCAGUUUGGUCUGAAAGGAGAUUUAUCUGCAAGUCUGCACAGAAAAGAGGAAAGCCGUAUGGAUCCUGUGAGUGGUUCUCUGCGUUUACUUAGCCAAUAAAGUUUAAAAAGUUUACAACAG